GAGGACACCUAGAUGGCACCAUUUAUGAGGAAGGAACCCUCCCUACACACUUAACCUGCUGGCACCUUGAUCUUGGACUUUCUAGGCUUCAGAGGAAAUGAGUUUCUGUACUUUAUAAAUUAUCCAGUCUCGGGUAUUUUAUUAAAGCUUACAAACAGACUUGUAUUAUCUCCUUUAUCUUGCAAACCUCUAUAGCCAUGUCCAUUUUAUUGAGGCUCAGAGAUGCUAAGGAGCCCAAGGUCACACAGCUAGUAAGGAACAGGUCCAGGCAUUCAUUCAUUAAUGAAUUCAUUAAUUCGUUCAAUCAACCAAUCUUUACUUAUUUAUUAAAGGCCUAUAAUGUGCUAGUCAAAGUCUAGAUGUUGGGAAAAUAACAGUAAUCAAGUCAAAGUGCUCGUCCACAAGGAGCUACCAUUCUAGCGGAAGAAACAUAUCCUAAAGAAAAAUACAAGUCAAUAAAUACUGUGUCAGGUGGUGAUAAAUGCUAUGGGGAAGAAAGAGGGUUAGUGAUGGCUGAAGUGGGUCUGCUGUUUAUAUAGGGUGGUCAAGGUGAUCUGGCAACAUUUGAGCGGAGAUCUAAAGGAAAUGAGUCAUGCAGAGAUCUGCAGGAAAAAACAUCACAGGAGGUGGGAACAGCCUAUGCAAAGGCCCUGGGGUGGGCACAUCUAUGGUAUGUUGGAGAGGCAGCGAGGAGUUUAGUGUGGCUGGAGCUGAGUGAGUGAGGGGAGAUAAACUUAGGUGACAGGGGUUAGAUCACGGAGGGCCUCGUGGUCAUGGCAGGAACUUCGGUUUUGACUUUGAUGAAACAGGGAGCCACUAAAGGACAACUCCCAGAACCCAUGUCCUUAAUUGCUAUGCUAUACUACUGAUGGAUUACGUGAAUGAAUGCCGAAAGGUACUUGUGGACUUUUUCUCAUUAAAACCAGCAGGAUGGUGGCCCAGAGAGUCUAGAAACAACGCAUGGAAGGGCAAGAUGUGAGUUAACAAGGAGGGCUAAUUAGGAAGGGGGAAAAGUGCCCAUUGCCUUGGUUGCCGGGAGUCUCUGAGGCUCCCACAGCACAGGACUGUGUAGGGCCCCGUGAUAGCCCCAGUGGGUCCUCUACCUGGAUUUGCAGAGUAGAUUUUCCAGGCCUGCCCCAGAUGGGUCUCAGCCCUUCCAUGAAAUAUGUCCUUUGCUAACAAGAGGCAGUGAGAAAAAGCCAACGUCUGCAAUGACUCACCAGAGAGAAAUGAAAAUUGUGCCCAGACUGGAAAAGAACCCAUCUGAAAGUGACACAUUUGCCUCCAAAAUAUAUAUACAUAUAUAUAAAGCUUUUUCUUUUCUUUUUCCUUCUCAUUUGAAGGAAGGCAGAGCCUUCUCACAUACACUGCCUCACAGCAGGAAAAUCUACUCUGCAAACUUCUGAAAUUCCUGUCCUUAUUCCUGUCGCAAUUCUAUGAGGCAAAAGGAUAUCAUAUCUGGGGAGGUGGCCAUUUCACGGCAGGACAGCAAGCGUGUGCCCUGGCAUUCCCAGGACAAUCCCAAUAGCAAAUAUUCUUCUGAUUGGCUGCCCCCCUCCCCCAGCCCCACUGCCAACUAACCAGCUAUUCUGACUUGGGAGUGCGUACGUUAAAAUGCAGAUUCUGGGAACUCUGAUUCAGGAGGUCUGGGAGGAAGCCCGGACACUGCACUUCAAAUAGAGAACCUCCAAUGAUUCUGAUACAGCCUGUCUAAGAAACGCUUCUCCAAACCACAGGAAUAGUCCCAGUAGCCCUAGCCUUCUGCAUCUAUGCUUAAAGGAUGAAGUGACUCCAAUCCUUUCUCAGACCACAGGGAGGCACAUUUUAGCUCCUGGCAGAGGUCAGAAUGCUCCUGGCCAAAUCAGAGUGGUGGAGAAUCUUGAAAUCCCAGUCCUUGCCCCUGUCCAUUCCAACUCUCUUCAUUUAUCUUCCUGACUUGAGCUUCUGGACUCUGCCGAGCAUUUGCUCUCUGGGUCAUAGCCAGGAAGGCCCCGGUGCUGAGGCAUGGAGCUGCCCUGGGUCUUGGAUACAAGCCACAGCUGGAGAGGGGGUCAGACCUUGCCUAAGCCUCUGAUCAUGAAGUAUAACAGAAAUGCCUAAUUGUGAUUAUGAAACACUGUUUCACGUCUUAAUUUGUUGAAGUUACAUGUUGACAGUAGGUACUGCCUUAGCAGGUGGAAACAAAAGGGUCCUACAUCUAUUAUUACUGUAAUUUACUGGAAUAAGGAGCCACCAGAUGCAGCCCUGGCUCACACCCCUUCCUCAUGAAUUACAAAGCUGGUCUGAGGGCCCUGUCAGUUGCUGGCUUUGGGCACCAACAUUGCUAAUUAAAAUCUUCCUGUGGUGCACUCCACUUUGUUGAGAUCUCUGCUCAGAUGCCAUCUUCCUUACCCACUGGUCUAAAUGACUCUCUUCCCCAGUGCCCUUCUCUUGUUAUUUCUAACCUCUUAGCCUACUUUAUUUUCCUUCAGAGCAUCCACCACUACUUGAAUUACAAAUUGAUUUAUUUGCUUGCUACUUUAUCAUCUGCCUUAAUCCAUCUAGAAGGUAAGUUCUUUAAGAGCUAUGACGUUGUCAUGUUCAACACUGUAUUUUGAUGCCUUGCACAUAACAGGCACUCAACUGAUAGUUGCUGAAUGAAUCAAUCAAUGAUAAAUGAAUGAAUGUUACAAUGUUCUGAGGGCCCUGGAGUCAUGUCUAACUGCAUGAUGCUCUACUUAUUGGAUCCAGUGGUCUUUGCGGACUAAGCAGAUACACAAAAAAUAACAACAGCUGCUUUUUUUUUUUUUUUCUUUUGAGACAGGAUCUUGCUCUGUUGCAUAGGCUGGAGUGCAGUGGCACAAUCUUGGUUCACUGCAACCUCUGCCUCCCGAGCUCAAGCAAUCCUCCCACCUUGGCCUCCCCGGUAGCUGGGACUGUGAAUGCGCACCACCACACCUGACUAAUUUUUGUAUUUUUUGGUAGAGAUGGGGUUUCACCGCAUUGCCCAGGCUGGCCUCAAACACCUGGGCUCAAAUGAUCCGCCUGCCUUGGGCUCCCAGAGUGCUGGGAUUACGGGUGUGAGCCUCCGCACCCAGCCAAUAGCUGUUUUAUUUAGUGCUUACUAUGUACUGGGUGUACACACCAUCUCAUUUUAUCCUCAGAGUAGUUUUGCAAGGUCGGGAUUAUUAACCCCAUUUAUUUAUUUAUUUUUUUGAGACAGGGUCUCGUUUUGUCACCCAGGCUGGAUACACUGGCACGUUCAAUAGUUCACGGCAGCCUCGACCUCCCGGGCUCAAGCAACUCUCCCAUCUCAGCAUCCCGAGUAGCUGAGACCACAGGUACUCACCACCAUGCCCAGCUAAUUUUUGUAUCUUUUUUGGUAGAGACAGGGUUUCACCAUGUUGCCCAGGUUGCUCUGAACUCCUGGGCUCAAGUGAUCUGCCUGCCUCAGCCUGCCAAAGUGCUGGGAUUACAGGCAUGAGCCACUGCAUGUGGCCCUAUUAACUCCACAUAAGAGAUAUAAAAACCAAUGACAAAGUCACCCAGCCAGUAAGGGAAGAGGCGGAAUUCAAACUUAAGUCAUUUAAUGCCAAGGUCUUCACUGUGUCUCACGACAACUGCAUUUGAUGCGAUCUAACUUGUGUUGACACUGGGAUAGGAUCCAGAGACAAGCAAGACAAGGUCCCUAAUGCCAGAAGUUCAGGGUCUAUCUCGGCAGCACAGCAGAAUAAGGAUGAGCAAGCAAUUAGAAUUCACCUCCACAUCCGAGCCUCAUCCUGUACUAGCUGAGCCUCAGCUCCCUCCUCUGUAAAAUAGAGUACUAAUUCACCAAAAUAAUGGAGCCAUAAGUCAUCAGUCCUCUGCUAUGUGAGGACACAGCAAGAAGGCAGCCACCUGCAAGCGAGAAGAGGCCCUACACCAGAGCCUGGCCAUGGUGGCACCCUGAUCUCAGACUUCCAGCCACCAGACCUGUGAGAAAUCAAUGUUUGCUGUUAAGGCUGCCUAGUCCAUGACAUUUUGUUAUAUAUAGCAGCCUGAACUAAAACAGUAGUGAUUCUGGAAGUCAGGUCUACUAGCCAAACACUGUGAACCACCGAUACAUUUAAUUCCAUUACACAGAUCCAAAGUAGUUUUAUUAUCAAACUAAAGGUACAAAGAAAAGAGUCAAGAAUCUCUAGGCAAUUAAAAAUUAGCAUCACAAUCUAGGUGCGGUGGCUCAUGCCCAUAAUCCCAGUAUUUAGGAUUCCCAGUACUGGGGAGGCUGAGGCGGGAGGAUCACUUGAGGCCAGGAGUUCAAGAUCAGCCUGGGCAAUAGAGCAAGAACCUACCUCUACAAAAAAUAUAAAAACUAGUCAGGCAUCGUGGCAUAAGCCUGUAGUCCCCACUACUUGGGAGGCUAAGGUGGGAGGAUUGCUUGAGCCCAGUUAUUUGAGACUGCAGUGAGCUAUAAUCAUACUACUGCACUCCAGCCUGGACAGCAGAGCAAGACUCUUAAAAAAAUUACCAUCACAAAUCAAUUAUGUUCAAAUCUCUCUGUUAAUAAGUAUUUCUUGAUUGGGCUGUUUAGAUUUUAGCAUCUACGUGGGCAAUACAAGGCAGUUGAGGGUGAAGGAAACUGGCAUCUCAUGGCUGGGGUGAUGCAAAUUAUUACUCUCUGUGGGCAGUUUUGUAGCUUUUACUCAAAAUCUUUAAAAUGUACAUAUUCUUUGGCUCUGCAGUUCUACUUCUGAGAAUCUUUCAUCCCACAGGGUACAAAAAGAUGUUCACCAUAGUGUUAUUUUUAUUACUGGAAAGUGGGACACAAUAUAAACAGCAGUCAUUACGGGACUGGUCCCAUGUUAGCACACAAGAACACCGGGAUGGUAUACAGCGAUUAAUAAUCAUGUGGCUUUCUCUGCUGACAUGGGAAAGUGUCCAUAAUAGUUUGUCAAAUUAAGAAGAUGACAAAACGGUACAUAAUCAUAUUUCUGUAACAUCGUAUGUAUGGGUGUGUAUGCUUGCAGAAAAGUCUACAAAAAUAUUCCCUGGAUUGUUCACAGUGGCUUUAUCUUGGUAGAAGGAUUUCAAGUGAUAUUUUUUCAAACUUUUGAUUUAACAGAUAGUAUUGUGUUAGGAAGCUAAGCAAAAAAACCCUCAAAAAACAAAAAACUAGAGUGGCCAGGAGUGGUGGCUCAUGCCUGUAAUUCCAGCACUUUGGGAGGCCAAGGCGGGUAGAUCGCUUGAGCUCAGAAGUUGGAGACCAGCCUGGCCAACAUGGCGAAACUGUCUCUACAAAAAAAUACAAAAAUUAGCUGGGCGCAGUGGUACAUGUCUGGAAUUUCAGCUACUUGGGAGGCUGAGUCAUGAGAAUCACUUGAACCUGGGAGGCAGAGGUCACAGUGAGCCAAGAUUGCACCACUGCACUCCAGCCUGGGUGACAGAGUGAGAGCCUGUCUCAAAAAAAAAAAAAAAAAGAAAAAACUGGAGUCAAUCUAAAAUUGCUUUAAAGAAAAGUGUUGAGGAAAUAAUAGAACAGGCAGGAAAGAGAUGUGAGAAAAUGGCAAAGGGGAGUGUGAAAGUUUGGCAAACACAGUUUUAAAUUCUUCAUCCUGCUCUUGCGUGGAAAGACUGUCUGCUCUUGCUUCUAAGUGAUAAACAUCUUAGUGGGAAAACCUCUUCCUUUUAUUUACCCAUUGACCCAGUUUUGGUGGUCAAUGACGCCCGCCCUUCCUGACAGAUGUUGGGGCAUGGGCCAGACAGGCCCGCUGGGUACACAAGGAUGCCCGCUCUUCUCCCUUGAUCCUGCAGUGGCUCCCUAGGGCCUCCAAGUAGGGGGAGUAGUUCUGUUGAUGGAGGGGUCACUAUGUACAAAGACUGAGCUGAAAUUUCUUGCACACCUUCUCAGAAUCACCCUAGGAGGGAAGCUUUUUGAAUGACCCCAUUUUAUUGAAAAAGAAACUAAGGCUCACAGAGGUCAAGGGUCUUGUCCAAGAUCACACAGCAAGUAAGCGAAGGACCUCACGCUCCAGUUCAGGUCGGCCUCUUUCUUUUGUUUUUUUGAGACAGAGUCUCGCUCUGUCGCCCAGGCUGGAGUGCAGUGGCAUGAUCUCGGCUCACUGCAAGCUCCGCCUCCCAGGUUCACGCCAUUCUCCUGCCUCAGCCUCCUGAGCAGCUAGGACUACAGGCGCCGCCACCACACCCGGCUAAUUUUUUGUAUUUUUUUUUUAAGUAGAGACGGGGUUUCACCGUGUUAGCCAGGAUCGUCUGGAUCUCCUGACCUCGUGAUCCACCCGCCUUGGCCUCCCAAAGUGCUAGGAUUACAGGCGUGGGACACCGUGCCCAGCCCAGGUCAGCCUGUUUCUAGGACCCAUCACUCUGAACCUCUAGUCCUUGUGCCCUUCGAGGGUGCAGACGGUGGUCUCUGCAUCUCCUUUGCUCCACGUGCCAGGCACAGGUGCCUGGGAACUACAGAAGAGGUUGAAUAGAAGGCUUAACAAUGAGUUUGGAAGUCAGGCACAGAGGGUUUGACUUCCGGGGGCACCCCUUGCCAGCUGUAUGACCCUGGCAAGUCACUCUUCCUUUCUGCGCCUUGGUCCCUGCAUCUAUAAAUUGCUGUAAGGAUGAAAUUACAUAAUUAUAGGUAACAAGAGGAUUCAGAAUCUGAGAGAUACUGCUUAAAAGGAAAAUGUCCUGGAGGGAUGCCAAACUGCACUCUCAAAGGUUUCGGCUGGAUGUGUGAUAUUGAUGGGGAAACCCAUUUCAGUGUCUCUAAGAAGGGGGUAGUGCUCCUCUUUCCAGGAUGUCUCUGGGGAAUCUAGAGCACCCCAAAGUGUGGUAUGCAUAGAAACAUUGCUGCUUAAGGUCUGAAUAUUUGUUCCUCAUCAAUUCAUGUGUUGAAAUUCUAACCUCUCCUGAAUGGGAUUAGUGCUCUUACACGAGAGGCCUGACAGAGACUCCUCACCCUUCCCACCAUGCGAAGACACAGUGAGAAGGCUCAGUCUAUGAACCAAAAUGUUGACUGUCACCAUUUACUCAAUCUGCUGUCGCCUUGAGCUUGGACUUCCCAGCCUCCAGAACUGUGAGAAAUAAAUUUCUGUUGCUUAUAAGACAACCAGUUUAUGACAUUUCGUUAUAGCAGCCUGAAUGGACUAAGACACCCUUCCCACCAUGUGAAGACAGAGUGAGAAGGUUCGGUCUAUGAACCAAAAACUGACCCUCACCAGUCAUUGAAUCUGCUGGUGCCUUGAUCUUGGACUUCCCAGCCUCCAGAACUGUGAGAAAUAAAUUUCUGUCGUUUAUAAGCCACCUAGUUUAUGAUACUUUGUUAUAGCAGCCUGAAUGGACUGAGACACCCACCUUAAAAAGACAGUACCUCAAAACCAUAAGGCAGGAUAACUGCUAGCCUGAUAUUAAUAGUUUUUAAUUUACUGCUAGCUUCAUUUUGCCAACUGAGUCAGAUAUUUUUUAAAAGUUCUGUUUGCAAUUAUUUUAACUUAGGAGAGGAGAAAAAGAGCAGGCAUCAGCCUGCAUAUGGGAUAUUUCUGAAAGGAUUUUGCUAUGAUUAGCUUGCCCUCAGGGAGAGUAAAAUGUGAGUUAUACAACCAUGCUUAUAUUUAGAUGUUGUUGAUGUUCUGGCUUAUAAUAUAUGAUGAGUUAGAAAUAAUUUUGUACUGAUCAGCCCAACCAGAAAAUAAACAUGCUUUAACUUGUAUUUAUUACUAAACUUGGUCUCCUAAAACAUGAUAAAGCAGUUGAGUCUAUAAUGACUGAGCCAUAGCUUCUCUGACUGACUCUAAGAGGGAAUGACGUUAAUAAGAGAUUAGCCCAUACCUCUAAUAGCCCUGGGAGAGAUGAACCCAAGACGGCAAGGCCCAGCUCUGAUGGAUGAAGGGACAGAGAACUAUAAGAAGACUGGGUUCCAUCUAGGAUGGGUGGCCUGUUGAGUGCCCAUCUUAUCUGCUUAGAUGAUGAUACUUGGAGACCUGACUCAAUUGUUGUGAAUGGUCUUUGUAAAAUUUUAUUUUAGAGACAGGGUCUUGCUAUGUUGCCCAGGCUGGUCUCAAACACCUGGGCUCAAGUGAUCCUCCUGCCUCAGCCUCCUGAGUAGCUGGAACUGCAAGUGAUUACUCUUAUUGAACAAACAAACAAAAACAAGUGCCUGUGACCUAAUAGAGAUGCAUGCAUAUGUUCACCAAAAGAUCUAGAAUGUCCACAACAGCCCUAUUUAUCAUCACCCCAAAUGGGGCACCCUGCACCUACCUCAACAGUAGAUGCAUACAUUUCUGUGUAUUUACACUGUGGAAUAUGACACAGCAAUGACAAUGAAUGAACUACAGCUAUACACAACAACAUGGAUGGCUAUCACAAACAUAAGGUAGAGCUAAAAGCGAAAAAAACCAGCAUAAAAGUGGGCAAAAGCCAUCUAUGUUGUUAAAAAUCAGGAUAGUGGCUGCCCUGGAAGGGGGCAUGAGGAGGCUUCAAGGUGCUUGUCAUGUUCUCUUUCUUCACU
rnacentral:lncRNA from 1 species